rnacentral:rRNA from 1 species
CGCACGGGUGAGUAACACGUAUCCAACCUGCCGUCUACUCUUGGCCAGCCUUCUGAAAGGAAGAUUAAUCCAGGAUGGCAUCAUGAGUUCACAUGUCCGCAUGAUUAAAGGUAUUUCCGGUAGACGAUGGGGAUGCGUUCCAUUAGAUAGUAGGCGGGGUAACGGCCCACCUAGUCAACGAUGGAUAGGGGUUCUGAGAGGAAGGUCCCCCACAUUGGAACUGAGACACGGUCCAA